rnacentral:rRNA from 1 species
GGCAGACGGGUGAGUAACGCGUGGGAAUGUGCCCCAAGGUACGGAACAACAGCGGGAAACUGCUGCUAAUACCGUAUGUGACCGAGAGGUGAAAGAUUUAUCGCCUUGGGAUCAGCCCGCGUUAGAUUAGGUAGUUGGCGGGGUAAUGGCCCACCAAGCCUACGAUCUAUAGCUGGUCUGAGAGGAUGAUCAGCCACACUGGGACUGAGACACGGCCCAGACUCCUACGGGAGGCAGCAGUGGGGAAUCUUGGACAAUGGGCGCAAGCCUGAUCCAGCCAUGCCGCGUGAAUGAUGAAGGCCUUAGGGUUGUAAAGUUCUUUCGUCGGGGACGAUAAUGACGGUACCCGAAGAAGAAGCCCCGGCUAACUUCGUGCCAGCAGCCGCGG